rnacentral:rRNA from 1 species
UACGUAGGGGGCAAGCGUUAUCCGGAUUUACUGGGUGUAAAGGGAGCGUAGACGGCGAGGCAAGUCUGAUGUGAAAGGCCGGGGCUCAACCCCGGGACUGCAUUGGAAACUGUUUUGCUUGAGUGCCGGAGAGGUAAGCGGAAUUCCUAGUGUAGCGGUGAAAUGCGUAGAUAUUAGGAGGAACACCAGUGGCGAAGGCGGCUUACUGGACGGCAACUGACGUUGAGGCUCGAAAGCGUGGGGAGCAAACAGG